CCUCCGUCUUCACCCAGUCUUCGAAGACUUUGAAUGUGGAAAAUCUUUGCCACUUCGGCAACUAAUACACAAACACAAAUUUUGCAUUUUUUAUUUCUUCCUCGCAGAUAGAGGAAGCCACGAGAAGCUUCAACCCUUUUACCCUUCAUGGAAUCACGUCCAUAACGCUACAUAUUUCUGUUUCUCUUAUUCUCAUUGGCUUUGUUUUUUUUUCGUUUUGCGCAAUUUUGAUCUAUGGGUCUCGCGAAGAAUCUGCGAGGCUCGAGAACGGAAGCGCCACAAGAAGGUUUACCCAUUUCGGCGGUUUUCGGUGGCUCCUCUGCUGUCGUAGCUCCGUUGCCAUACCUCUCGUCCUGUGCCUUUGAUCUCCUCUGUUGUACGUGCCACCGUGACCUCCUCUGCAGUGCCGCCACGUCGGAGUCACCUAAUCCCUAAACGAGCAGCACGUCCUGCGCGAUUCCCGCCGUGGGCUUCCCCUCACUUUCGAAGGAAGCCGGUGAGGCCUAUCUCGUUGGGCUGUUCGAGGAUACCCACCUCACGAAGAGAGAGAGCGGGAUAAAGAAGAAUGUGUUUGAAUUCUGAAAAAAUUGGAACAUGUCUUCAACUACUGUGGUGGGGUGGGUCUUGGAUGAUUAAUUUUGACAAGAAAACUAUUUGAAUAAGUGAAUAUCUCAUCCAUGUAUAUCAACAUCAAUAAUUUGUUUACUGUGCAAUAUUUUUUAUAACGAUAAAUUCAAUUUAGGCAGAGGGAGUGUAGGAUGUGUUAAAGGUCUCAACUCAGUAAUGAUGGUCUUAUUUCAGGGAACAUAUCUGCAUAACAAAGAAAUGAAAGCUGCAAUAGGGCCUUGAACAUGCCAUUCUUGGCACUGAUUAAUAUGUGGUGAAGCCUGAUGAUAAUUUGGAAGAAGUUAAAGAAGCAUCCAUGGAAUAUAUGCUGUUAGUCAUGAGCAUGAUUCACAGAAUCAGUAAGUGUUUUAAGUACAAGUAGGAUAAUGACAUUAACCUUUUCCAUGGGACUCUCCAGUCUUUAGCUAAAAUGGCUAACAAGUUUGUGGUUAGCAGAGGAUUGGAAAAAAAAAUGGACCCCGACCUCUGCAGUGUUUUUCUCUUAUUUCUGAUUCUGACUAUUCUGAAGAUGUAGAUAAAUUUAAGAUUGUAUUAUGAUUUUGUGUACGAGCUUAUUGGUUUCUUAUUUUUGAAGAAGCAACCAAUGUCAUCUUUGGCCUUGCUCUGGGAUACAAGUCUAUCAUUAUUCCUAUUUUUGCCAUUGCAAUCAGCAUUUUUGUGAGUUUUACUUUUGCUGCAAUGUAUGGCAUUGCUAUGGCUGCCCUUGGGAUGCUGAGCACCAUUGCGACAGGGUUGGCUAUUGAUGCCUAUGGGCCAAUCAGUGACAAUGCAGGAGGUAUUGCUGAGAUGGCAGGCAUGAGCCAUUGUAUUCGUGAGAGAACUGAUGCCCUUGAUGCUACUGGCAACACUACUGCUGCCAUACGCAAGGGAUUUUGUCAAAAGGCACCACGUGGGUACUUGCCAAUAGUAACUCUCAAACUCGGGCCAUGUAUAGGCCCAAAAUGUAAGCCGUAACUCGUUAAGAGAAGUUCAUUAUAAAAUGGGAAGAAAGCAGAAUUAGGGUUUUAUAUCGUGCAUAGUGUGGUAGCAGCAGCUAAGCUUGUUUCCGUUGCCGCUUCACCCACCGUAGCAACCAUGAUCAUUCCCAAGAAGAACCGUAAAGAGAUAUGCAAAUACCUCUUCCAAGAGGUGAUUCGGCAGUGACCGUGAUGGAUACCGUGGUGGUCCACGCAGGCCUCAUUUUUCAGGGCAAAGGUCCUGAGACACUUCGAGAAGGGGCGAAGAUGUUAUGAGAGGCUAAUUCAUGGUUCAAAAUUCAAAUGGCAUUUCAGUAACAGGAAACUCUUACUCACCACUAUGACUUUCUUGCACACGCCCUGGAAAUCCAGCUAGAAACCAUUUUCAGCUCAAAUCCUCAAAUGGGCCUCCGCAAAAUGCUGUUUCUUCUAAUAACAGGUGGUCUUGGUGGAGGGCCUGAUUUUGGUCGUGGUUCCGGUGGUUAUGGUUCACCUUGCAAUUUUGGCUGUCAUUGGAGUUAAUAGUAGUUGUUAUCCUCUCCCAAUAGUUGCUCGAUAUGUCAGACAAUUUACUUAUUCGGUUAUUUAUGUAAUAAAGAUUUUGAUUGAGUGUCUGUUGUAAUAGGUUGACAAUAUUGUUUCUGUUGAAUGAUUGAUGGUUUAUAAAGUGAAAAAUGACUAGGAAAAGCCUUAAUUUUUAUUUCAAAAA